GUCCUCGUGGUCCAGCGGAUAAGACGUCGGCCUGCGGAGCCGAAGAGCGUAGGUUCGAAUCCUACCGAGGACG
rnacentral:tRNA from 1 species